AGUGAACGCUGGCGGUAGGCCUAACACAUGCAAGUCGAACGGCAGCACAGUAAGAGCUUGCUCUUACGGGUGGCGAGUGGCGGACGGGUGAGGAAUACAUCGGAAUCUACUUUUUCGUGGGGGAUCACGUAGGGAAACUUACGCUAAUACCGCAUACGACCUACGGGUGAAAGCAGGGGAUCUUCGCACCUUGCGCGAUUGAAUGAGCCGCUGUCGGAUUAGCUAGUUGGUGGGGUAAAGGCCCACCAAGGCGGCGAUCCGUAGCUGGUCUGAGAGGAUGAUCGGCCACACUGGAACUGAGACACGGUCCAGACUCCUGCGGGACGCAGCAGUGGGGAAUAUUGGACAAUGGGCGCAAGCCUGAUCCAGCCAGACCGCGUGGGUGAAGAAGGCCUUCGGGUUGUAAAGCCCUUUUGUUGGGAAAGAAAAGCAGCAGGUUAAUACCACGCUGUUCUGACGGUACCCAAAGAAUAAGCACCGGCUAACUUCGUG
rnacentral:rRNA from 1 species